rnacentral:lncRNA from 1 species
GUCAGAAUGUCGUGCAACUGGAGCUAAGAAAAGCCUCUGAGAAAAAACAAAGGAGCAUUGCAUCUUACCAUAACAUAAGAUGUGCACAUACAUUGAACCAAGACUGUAGCUGAUGUGCAGUGUCACUUACAACAUUAAUCAGAUACUGCAUUUAAGUCUAUUCAAGCUGCUUCUCAUCUGAUUUUUGACAACUGCUUCUAAAAAUUUAUCGAGAAGACCGAGAAUUCAGUUGAUCUCCAUCGCUUUACAUAAAAAUGGCUGGGUAUAUUGCCAUGUUAACACUGCAUUAGGAGGUACACACAGCCCACUCCACUUGUGAAGACUGAUUCAAAGAAUCUGGAUGAUCCCAGUCACUCAGGACUUAGCCCUCCAGGGUGCUAAGUGCUUUCAAUUUCAGAGAAA